rnacentral:rRNA from 1 species
UACGUAGGGUGCGAGCGUUGUCCGGAAUUAUUGGGCGUAAAGGGCUCGUAGGCGGUUUGUCGCGUCGGGAGUGAAAUCCACUGGCUUAACUGGUGGCUUGCUUUCGAUACGGGCAGACUGGAGGUAUGCAGGGGAGAACGGAAUUCCUGGUGUAGCGGUGAAAUGCGUAGAUAUCGGGAGGAACACCUGUGGCGAAAGCGGCGCACUGGACCACAACUGACGCUGAGGCGCGAAAGCUAGGGGAGCAAACAGG